AUUGAACGCUGGCGGCAUGCCUUACACAUGCAAGUCGAACGGCAGCACGGGAGCAAUCCUGGUGGCGAGUGGCGAACGGGUGAGUAAUGUAUCGGAACGUACCUUUCAGUGGGGGAUAACGUAGCGAAAGUUACGCUAAUACCGCAUAUUCUGUGAGCAGGAAAGCAGGGGAUCGCAAGACCUUGCGCUGAUUGAGCGGCCGAUAUCAGAUUAGCUAGUUGGUGAGGUAAAGGCUCACCAAGGCGACGAUCUGUAGCGGGUCUGAGAGGAUGAUCCGCCACACUGGAACUGAGACACGGUCCAGACUCCUACGGGAGGCAGCAGUGGGGAAUUUUGGACAAUGGGCGCAAGCCUGAUCCAGCAAUGCCGCGUGCAGGAAGAAGGCC
rnacentral:rRNA from 1 species